GAUGAACGCUGGCGGCGUGCUUAACACAUGCAAGUCGAACGAAGCACUUUAUUUGAUUUCCUUCGGGACUGAUUAUUUUGUGACUGAGUGGCGGACGGGUGAGUAACGCGUGGGUAACCUGCCUUGUACAGGGGGAUAACAGUUGGAAACGGCUGCUAAUACCGCAUAAGCGCACAGCAUCGCAUGAUGCAGUGUGAAAAACUCCGGUGGUAUAAGAUGGACCCGCGUUGGAUUAGCUAGUUGGUGAGGUAACGGCCCACCAAGGCGACGAUCCAUAGCCGACAUGAGAGGGUGACCGGCCACAUUGGGACUGAGACACGGCCCAAACUCCUACGGGAGGCAGCAGUGGGGAAUAUUGCACAAUGGGCGAAAGCCUGAUGCAGCGACGACGCGUGAGCGAAGAAGUAUUUCGGUAUGUAAAGCUCUAUCAGCAGGGAAGAUAAUGACGGUACCUGACUAAGAAGCACCGGCUAAAUACGUG
rnacentral:rRNA from 1 species